rnacentral:tRNA from 1 species
GCCGGAGUGGUGAAAUGGUAGACGCAGAGGACUCAAAAUCCUCCGGAGGCAACUCCAUGUCGGUUCAAGUCCGACCUUCGGCA